rnacentral:rRNA from 1 species
AUACGAAGGAGGCAAGCGUUGUUCGGAAUAACUGGGCGUAAAGCGCACGUAGGCGGAAUGUUAAGUUAGAGGUGAAAUCCCAGGGCUCAACCCUGGAACUGCCUUUAAUACUGGCAAUCUAGAGACCGAGAGAGGUGAGUGGAAUUCCGAGUGUAGAGGUGAAAUUCGUAGAUAUUCGGAGGAACACCAGUGGCGAAGGCGGCUCACUGGCUCGGUACUGACGCUGAGGUGCGAAAGCGUGGGGAGCAAACAGGAUUAGAAACCCCAGUAGUCC